rnacentral:rRNA from 1 species
AACGAACGCUGGCGGCAGGCCUAACACAUGCAAGUCGAGCGCCCCGCCAGGGGAGCGGCGGACGGGUGAGUAACGCGUGGGAACGUACCCUUUGCUACGGAAUAGUCUCGGGAAACUGGGAGUAAUACCGUAUGUGUCCUUCGGGAGAAAGAUUUAUCGGCAAGGGAUCGGCCCGCGUUGGAUUAGGUAGUUGGUGGGGUAAUGGCCUACCAAGCCGACGAUCCAUAGCUGGUUUGAGAGGAUGAUCAGCCACACUGGGACUGAGACACGGCCCAGACUCCUACGGGAGGCAGCAGUGGGGAAUCUUAGACAAUGGGCGCAAGCCUGAUCGAGCCAUGCCGCGUGAGCGAUGAAGGCCUUAGGGUUGUAAAGCUCUUUCAGGGGGGAAGAUAAUGACUGUACCCCCAGAAGAAGCCCCGGCUAACUCCGUG